GACCGCGUAGCUCAGUUGGAAGAGCAUUGGGCUAGUAUUCGAAAGGUCGUAGGUUCGAAUCCCACUGUGGCCG
rnacentral:tRNA from 1 species